UACGUAGGGUGCAAGCGUUGUCCGGAAUUAUUGGGCGUAAAGAGCUCGUAGGCGGCUUGUCGCGUCGGCUGUGAAAACCUGGGGCUCAACCCCGGGCCUGCAGCCGAUACGGGCAAGCUAGAAUUCGGUAGGGGAGACUGGAAUUCCUGGUGUAGCGGUGAAAUGCGCAGAUAUCAGGAAGAACACCCGUGGCGAAAGCGGCUCUCUGGAACGGUACUGACGCUGAGACGCGAAAGCGCGGGGAGCAAACAGG
rnacentral:rRNA from 1 species